rnacentral:rRNA from 1 species
AGAGUUUGAUCCUGGCUCAGAACGUACGCUGGCGGCACGCCUAACACAUGCAAGUCGAACGCAGUAGCAAUACUGAGUGGCAGACGGGUGAGUAACAUGUGGGAAUCUGCCUUGUGGUUCAGGACAACAUUGGGAAACCGAUGCUAAUACUGGAUAAGCCCUUACGGGGAAAGUUUUAAUGCCAUAAGAUGAGCCCGCAUUUGAUUAGUUAGUUGGUGAGGUAAUGGCUCACCAAGACAAUGAUCAAUAGCUGAUCUGAGAGGAUGAUCAGCCACACUGGGACUGAGACACGGCCCAGACUCCUACGGGAGGCAGCAGUGGGGAAUCUUGCACAAUGGAGGAAACUCUGAUGCAGCGAUGCCGCGUGAGUGAAGAAGGCCUUUGGGUUGUAAAGCUCUUUUGUAGGGGAAGAUAAUGACUGUACCCUAAGAAUAAGGUCCGGCUAACUUCGUGCCAGCAGCCGCGGUAAUACGAAGGGACCUAGCGUAGUUCGGAAUUACUGGGCGUAAAGCGCGCGUAGGCCGUUGAGUUAGUUAAUUGUGAAAUCCCAAAGCUUAGCUUUGGAACUGCAAUUAAAACUGCUUGACUAGAGUUUGAUAGAGGAAAGCGGAAUACAUAGUGUAGAGGUGAAAUUCGUAGAUAUUAUGUAGAACACCAGUUGCGAAGGCGGCUUUCUGGAUCAACACUGACGCUGAGGCGCGAAAGUAUGGGUAGCAAAGAGGAUUAGAUACCCUCGUAGUCCAUACCAUAAACGAUGAUUGCUAGAUGUUGGAAAUUUAUUUUCAGUAUCGCAGCUAACGCAUUAAGCAAUCCGCCUGGGGAGUACGAC